CCGAGAGGUAGUGCAUGGCCGUCGUCAGCUCGUGCCGUAAGGUGUCCUGUUAAAAAAUGCGAAGCACUUUUUUAUGUAAAAUGCUUGCAUUUUACAGUUAGUCAGGCAACGAGCGAGACCUAUACUUACAAUUGCUAACAAGCUUUGCGAUUGAGCACAUUGUGAGAACUGCCCUUGAAAAGGGGAGGAAGGUGUAGGCUACGGUAGGUCUGUAUGCUCCGAAUCUUCUGGGCUACACGCGCGCAACAAUGGCAGAAACAAUAGGAUGCAACUCCGAAAGGAGAAGCCAAUCCCCUAAAUCCUAUCCUAGUUCAGAUCGAGGAUUGUAACUCAUCCUCGUGACGCUGGAAUCCCUAGUAAUCAGGUGUUAUCAGCGCCUGGUGAACAUGUCCCUGCUCCUUGCACACACCGCCCGUCAAACCACCCGAGUAGGGUUUAAAUGAGGCUUAAUUUUAAAUUAAGUCAAAUCUAAGCUCAGCGAGGAGGGUUAAGUCGUCACAAGGUAGCCGUAGGGGAACCUGCGGCUGGAUCACCUCCU
rnacentral:rRNA from 1 species